CUGCACCCCCAAUUUGAAGAACAUAUCAUAGCUGAGAAAAGGAAGGACCGUGAAUUUGAUAAAGAAGGUUCAUCAAGAGCUCCUGGGAGUGAAAAAUGAAAGAGAAUUUUUUUAAAAAAAAAAAAAAAAGAAAGAAAGAAGACAACAUAUGUAGAAGAGUAGUGAUUGGAGGAAAAAAAAAAAAGGGAAGUGGAGUCUAUGCCUGGAAAGAAUUUUCCAAGUGUUUAGGUUUCACUGUUUAGUUUAUGACAACUAUAUUAAUUCUUGUAUUAAUAGGAUUUGUCCAUGAACUAAAUGUAUGCUUUUACAGUUUUAGCCUGAAAGAUUUAGAAAACAACCAGACUCUCAUUAGUCUCUUAUAAUCACCUUUGUUCCUUUCCUAAAUUGUUAGAAUGAUUUUGAGUUAUUGUCUUAGAAGUUGUAUCUGAAAGUGUUCAUACUUUAUUCCAAAAUUGAAACUA